rnacentral:rRNA from 1 species
CCUACGUGAGGCUGCAGUGAGGAAUAUUGGUCAAUGGCCGGAAGGCUGAACCAGCCAUGCCGCGUGAAGGUCAGUGCCCUAUGGGCGUUAAACUUCUUUUGUGCGGGAGCAAUAAUGGUCACGUGUGGCCAGACGAGAGUACCGUACGAAUAAGCAUCGGCUAACUACGUGCCAGCAGCCGCGGUAAUACGGGGGAUGCAAGCGUUAUCCGGAGUUAUUGGGUUUAAAGGGUGCGUAGGCUGUGAGGUAAGUCAGCGGUGAAAUGCCUCCGCUCAACGGGGUGAAGUGCCAUUGAUACUGCCUUGCUGGAAUGCGGAUGCCGUGGGAGGAAUGUGUGGUGUAGCGGUGAAAUGCAUAGAUAUCACACAGAACACCGAUUGCGAAGGCAUCUCACGAAUCCGCGAUUGACGCUGAUGCACGAAAGCGUGGGUAUCAAACAGGAUUAGAUACCCCGGUAGUC